ensembl:lncRNA
AACACAAGCUUCUCAGGUGUCUCACAUUGAAGGUGCAAAGCAGGCAAAAGUACUCAGCACUUUCCAGUGAAUGUAAAGAAAUUAAUGUACAGAGGAAAAUUCAGUAAGCCAUGAGCUUUUGCUUUGAAAGGGGGAAAAAAUUGUCCUGUUACCCCCAGUCAGGUUUUGUACUGCUGUGUCUGAGCAGAUGGUGUUGUAGCUGCUAACACUUCCCUGCAUAUCUCCAAUGGUACUACAGCUGUUGGUAUCUGUAGGAGCUGGAACUUCACUCCUUGGUUUGGGUCUCUCUCCAUCUGCCUGUGGCACUGUGAGCACUUGCAUGGGGCUUGUGAGAGUCGCUGGCUAUGCUGCUGCGCUCAGUGUAAACACAUGGAGGAAAAAAUAAGUGUAUAAUUUGUUCCUCCUGCAUAAUCUAAGGUUUCACUGGUCACAGCAGCAGAUCUGAAUUUGCCAAUCAGAAAUGGUGCAGCAUAUCUUUAGUCUUUAUUUGCAUCUACAAAUUUGGCAUCUUUUUUGCUCUUCCAUCAGUUGAGGUAUGCAGUAGUUUAUGUUCCUGAUUAAUGGUUUACCUCUGUGCCUCCAAAUGUCAACAAAAAUCUACAUUGCAGAAGUUUACUAAGCACUUCUGAGUGUUGGUGAGGAAAUCUGCAUACAUUUCAGCCUCUUGUACAGGGCGUGUUGCUGACCUGUGACUUCUUUCUGUUUUUGGAGAGGGAGAGUGGGGUGCUUUCAAGAGCCAGCCUCAGUACAGUAAACAGAAUAGACAGGGUUUGAAGUGGUUGACUUUUUUAUUUUCAGUCUCUCUUCAUCCUGCUUGGGGAAGGGAGGAGUGAAGCAUUUGAUUAGGCACGGGUUAGAUAGGUGGGUGGGGGGCAGUGUGGUGCUGCAGCCCUUCCCUCGUCCCUGCAGUAGAGCUCACCAUACCUGCAGCAGCCCUAGGUCACUGCUGCCAGCUGAGUAUUUCAGUUUUGAGCUGGCUGAAUUAGAAGGUUCCUAUUAGGCUGAGCUGAGAUCAGAGGUUGAGUUUUCUUGCAGCUGCAAUACCCUUCGGUAUAUUGAGAGAGACAGAAUAAGGAAACAAGUGUCAGUGUACUUUUAAAUGGACUGGAAGUACAGAGGUGAAUCCUUGCUCCUCUGCCUGCACUGGGCAAUGACCUGAAGUAAAACCUCUGUGCAGAGGAGUGUUUAAUCUGUGCCUACAGGCACAAGGGGGGGGGAAAAAUUGCUGCUCUCUUUCCUCCCUCCCCACCUCCUCAGAGAAAUUUCAUUCAUAGCCAAGUAGUCCAAUUGGUUGAUUUAUGGUGUGAGGGGUAUUUUUAAUUUUUUUUUUUUUGUUCUCUCAGCUUUGCUUUUAAAAAGCCAGCUGAGUUCAGUUCUCCCAAGGCAGGAGGAACAUUUUCUGUUAGUUUGAUUGAUCUGUGAAUAACUCUGAUGUUCCAAGGCAUAAUGUUAAUAGAGUUUGUGGCAUAAAGUCAUAUGAAGAAAAUCUAAAAAUAAAGAGUGGCUUAAUUAACAUCCACAGCCUAAAAAGAGCACUGCUUGUGGAGCAGCCAGAGACUGGCAGUAUUUGGAGAGGGGUUUUCUAAAAGGGGGAGCUAGAAAUCACUGUGUCUGGAAGUGGGACUAAAUUGUCUUCAAAAUAGUUUCUUUAAUUGAAAACAAACUGGAAUUUUUCUUCCUGGGAAAGUGCCAGUCAGCUGUGGAGCCCAUGCUAUGUUGCUGGCAGUGCCUGGGCUUGGCAAGGGACAGCUGUGAGGGGAGGGCAGGCGGCUCUGGGCCUGCCAUCCCCUCUGGAGGGCCCCAGGGGCACUCGCAGACGAAGUAACUUGAUCAUUUGAAUGGUUUAAGACUCUUACUGAUUCCUGCUGAUUUUUCUCGUGGUGUUUCUGGUCAUGCUCCAAUGCCUGACAGCCUUUUCAGUGAAUAAAUUUACUCCUAAUAUCUGAUCUAAACCCUCCCUGAUGCAACUUGAGACCUGUUUAUCUUGUCCUAUCGCUUGUUCCUUGGGGAAAAAAGACUGAUCUCCACCUGUCUGUAACCUUCUUCUAGGUAGUUGUAGACACAACUGGAGUGGUGAAUCUUGGUCAAAGAGAAACCCUGUCAUCUUUGUGAGCAAGAUCACGACCUGAUUGCUGAAGUUGUGUCUCUUUCUCACUCCCCUGUCUCCAGAAUCCAGAGGGAGCAUGUGCAGAAGUGCCAGGGCAAGUCUCAGCCAUAGCUGGAGCAGGUCACAGCCACAGCCGGCCCUACAGCCUUAAGAGACCUGUUACCUGACGUGCUCUCCUGGGAGACAGGGAAUGUGUACUACAUUGAAUCCACGCAGAAUAGUGGUGUUUCCAAUUUUUAAUACACUGCUCCAGUAGUGUUAUGAUAGCAAAUGUCCUCUUUACAUUUCCUUUCCAAAGGAGCCCCAUUCUCCAAGUUAGCUGUAUAUAAAAUGAAAUCUGGAGUAUCCCCAACGAGGUUGUGAUUUUAUGUUAAUGACACCAUCUGGGUAGGACAGCUUGGUCCUUGGUGGCCACUUCAAGUCUGGUUGGGAAAGCACUGGAUCAAGCUUGCUACCAUGGGACUGCAGUUCUGACCAACAUAAGGUGUGUGGAGCAGAAAAAAGUUUGAGAUCCUUUUCCUAAAGGAAAGAUGACGUUUUGUUCUCACUGGCCUUGUCAUCAGAGACUCUCUGGUAUGUCAGCUGGCACAGAGGAUGGAUCCCCACUGAGCACUAGAUGUUUGACUGCUCUUGUACCAAAAUGAUGGCAGACGCAUUUGAAGAAGUUUGUAUGAUGACUGCUUGCUGUUUCUUCUGGCUCCGAAUUUAUUGUUCACCAGAGUUAAAUUCAUAAAAAUGCAUAAGCUGCAGAUGGGGAAGUGAUAGAAGAAAUGCAUCAUUCAAAUAUGUGCAGCUGAUUUCAAGGAAAAAAGCCACUAAGUGGGAAAGAUAAGAAAUGGUAAAGAGUUUUUUUGUGAAAGAGAAGAACCUUAGGUAUCUCUACCAAGGCCAGGCUGGAUGAUGUUUUAAACAACUUGGUCUAGUGGAAGGUGUCCCUGUUCAUGGUGAGUGGGUUGGAACUGGAGGAUCUUUAAGAUCCCUUCUAAGCCAAACUGUUCUAUAAUUCUAUGAGGUAUUUCACUAUUUGAGUGAUAAGGACAGGAUGAUUUGUGGCUGGCUGAGCAGACUGAGGUAUCAAUCUAGUAUUGUAUUGUGAUACAGGAUAAUGAUGCAUUAUCUUUCACUUCAGGAAAUAAUGGCUUAAAAGGUUUUUGAGCAAAGAGGUUGUUGACUGUAGAAAUAAAAUUAAGUGGAAGUUAGAUGAAACUGGCUGGAAGAGGUCCUGGAAUUUAAAAGGGCUAUUGUAAAGUAGGUGCUGGAACUUUUUUCAGUGAGGGUGUGCUGCCCUGUAGCCUUUUUUUCUGAAAUUAGAGGUUGCAUGUGCCAGUAGAAAUUGAGUGGAAGCUGAGAGUUGCUGUCUUUUGCAGAGUCUCUAGAAUGCUACAAGAUUCACAUGUCUGCUGGAAUAUUUGGGAUCAGUCCUGAGAAGUUUGUGCUGCACACUACCACCAUCGCUUGUGCAGAACUCUGUGGUGCUCAGAACAGGUGGACUAUGGAAUAAUUUACUGUUUCUUCACAGAUUAGUCUUCAUAAAGUAGCUGUCCCAUCUGUCAUGCCAUUGUUUCUAACAGGCUCCAGGUUUUAUGCCUGUCCUAUUUCAGAUAUGACAUCACCAAAGAAGAUGGUGAAAAGGUUGUGCAUUGGCUUCAUGGUUAUUUGAGUCCUCUCAGAGUAGCGUCACUCACCCACCAUGGUGGCAUUCAUCUGAAUAUAUUGCUGGUGUGGUAAACAAUUUAUGGGAGAUGUUAUUAGUGCCUUGUAAAUCCCAAGGACAGCUGAACACAGCCUUUUAUAGUCGAUCAUAGAAUAGCCUUCUGUUUGUGAAAGUGUGAAAAUUACUUGUUUGCAUGUAGACUUCCUGAUUGAAAAACAGUCCCUGCUUUGGAAAAUGUCAUUAUUAUUUUAAUCAAAUUAAGCUUCCUUUACACUUUCUGCAAUCUGCUAUUAAGAAAAAUCCUUUAUUAAGCAUUCAUAACACUUUCUUAAUCUUCACGGUCCAGAGCACAUUUGGGGAGGAAGAAAAAAAGGGACUUAAAAGUGGACACUUUUUCCUAACUACUCCACAUUUCUUUUUAAAAACUUUUAAUGAGAAACCUUCAAUUUUCAGUAGCAACCCAUGUCUUUAAUAUUCCUGUAUUCAUUUCUCCAGGCCAAAGUGUGCCAUCAAAGAAUAAGAAUGUUCAUGGCAUUCUGUGUAUUUAUAAAUGUGAAGAAAUGAUUGGUCUCACAAAUAGCAUGAUUGUAAAGCUCUGACUCUCUUUGCAGGUGCCACAUGCAUUUGAUAGUGCAAAGUUUGAACUACACAUACAGCGUUCUUGUUUGAAGGGACACUUGUCAUUUCUCUUUUAUUUUAUUUGCCUCUGCCUGAGACAGCAUGUAUUAAAAAUAAUAAGUACAUCCAACAGUCCCUGAUGGGACAGCUUAUUAGUUUAGUCAUCAUAUGUAGAAAUACCUGGAAUUUUUAAAAAUUGGGACUUGAAUGCCUCUCAGGAUCUAUCUCCUCAAUACUGGUGUUAAUGUUUUGUUAGGUUGGGAUUUUUUCCUGCAGCAUAUGAGUUCUGAUAAGUCCAGGAGCUUUGAAACCAAUGCUGGGUUUCAAAGCAUCUCUAAGUCUUGUGGAAAUGUUGGCCAGGCUUUCUUCACUGGAACAAACACAUCAUUUCUGUGCUUCACAGCUUAGGAGUUGGUAAGGAAGAUGCCUACACAGGAGCUCUAGGCUUCCUGCCAUCUAAUUUUAGGGCAGCUUGAAAAGCAAACAUUUAGUAGAAGUAAAUGAGUUGAACUCAGUCAGCAAAGGAAUUGGCUACCAAAAAAGAAAAAGAAGGAAAAAAAAAAAAGAACAGAUCUUGGUAUUAGUCCUGUGUCAAUAAAUCACAUGUCAUAGCAAGUUUCAAAUAUUGAUGAUUAUUUUCUUUUACUGUCUCUUGAUGUCCGUUUUCUGAAGUUGAGAUGGAGACAGGAGAGUAGAGCUGCCAAGAAUUUCUUUUUUAUCUUCAUUUUCCUCCACUGAGAAAGCUAAUUGUAUCGCUUUCUGAACCACUUAAUUCAUUGCCUGUCAUGCUUUUCUCUCAGUGUAAACUUCCUUGGGGCUAUCACCACAGUCCCAGCAGAGGAGGAAAUUAGGGUCUCUAACAGAAAUAACCUACAGCUUACAUAGCAUAAACAAAUAUUGGAAAGCAAACACUGACAGGUUGGGGAAAAGUGGUUUUUUUUUAAAAAAGGAAAGUAAUAAAAAAAGAAAAGAUUAAAUGCAAACACAGUGCCCUGCAGUGUUUAAAACACUUCCUUAUAGUCUGUCAGGCUCUAUGUUCAGGACCUUUGAUCAGGAUGGAGGCUGUUUAUUUCCUGUACAAACCAACUUAUACAUUGAUCAAUGCAUUGUUGAUAUAGUGAAGGUAUUCAUUCCCUUUACUGGUCUCUUUGAGAGCCUUGGAUUUGACAACAGUAUUGUGAGCACUAACAUGGGUAUCUAGUCAUGGAGAGAAUGCAAAAAUGAAAUGAGAGGAUGGAGUUGAUCACCUAUUCAACGGAAGAAUGCUUGGAGGGUUUCUGUGGAAAGAAGUGCAAUGGGGUAAAGUUUGUUCACACUUAAAAGAGACCAUUUGGGAACCAUUGGCCUAAAUAGCUAAGCAUUUUGCUUACUGUACUGGGAGGGCCUGCUGCAAGAGUCCUGUAAUAGGAGUUGUUUCUGACUGGUCAUACAUACCCUGUGGAAGGGGGAAGACAUUAAUAGUAAAAGAAACCCUCAAAUCAAAAAAAAGCUUCAAAAUUUACCAUCUGCCUUAAAACUUUGCUGCAUUUUGGUGCAAAAAUUUGGCAUGUUCCUCAGGGUGGACCUGAAUGCAGAGUCAUGCAAAGAAUAAACCUAACUUUGUAUGCACAGUAAUGGGAUCUAAAAUAACUAUUAUUAGAGAAUCAAACUGGCUUAGUUGGAAAGUGAAGGAUUAUUUACUUUUUGUCCCUGCUCUUUUACGUCUGAGGCAUUGGACUUAAAGUGACCUGUAAUGAAACUGUGCAGUUUUCUGCCACUGGAUCUUGUGGAUGCCAGAAGUUUUUGUGCCAACAAAUAAUAUCUGUACAAAUUCAUGAAAGAAAUCCGUCAGAUGCUCUUAAAAAGAGAAAAAUCCCCUGUAGUUCCUGAAUUGUGGGAGCUGCAAAUUGCUCUGUUGCUGUCUUUAGUUAUGCAAUGGAUUUUGCCUGGUUUUACUCCACCAUACACAUUUUGUUGUGGACCACUAUCAGGCAGUAUUUGGGUUAGGAAGACCUUUGGCCUGACCUCUGUCAGUCAUUCCCGUGACUCAUGGAGCAAAGGUCAGCUGCAAACUUCACUUUGGGAACCUCUGAUUCCCACUCAUUUUUAACAGAGUACUAAUUCAAUAAUAUUAUGGUUACUUGGACUACAUCUGGGCGGGAUGAAUUCAGUUUUCCAUCUCAGUCCACAUAUUUCCUUUGUGACAUAAAGUUCUUUUCUGUCUUUGUAAAGCACUCUGUAAAACAUGAAUAAUGGCUCUUCUCUGAUUGUGUGUGUUAUUUCAUAUUAAAAGAACCAGCCACCCAGCAUA